rnacentral:tRNA from 2 species
GCCCAGGUGGCGAAAUUGGUAGACGCACUACCUUGAGGUGGUAGCGCCGAGAGGCAUGCUGGUUCGAGUCCAGUCCUGGGCACCA